UCUAGCAGGCUCUGCAACCUCUGCCUGACCAGGCCCCUUUCUUCGGAGGGCACCCCCCAGGGAAGGAGACAGACUAGCUGUUCUGAGUGUGCUCAGAGCCAACGGCUCACCCCAGGCAGUAGAUGGAGCAAUGAACUGCUGAGCAUCGUGCUGGAAGCCUCAUCAAGUGUUAGCAGGGGCUGCAGAAGCACAAAAGAGUCAAGGCUUUGAAUGCUCCUGGCUCUGACAAUUGGUGUUGAAACUGUGUCCGUGCUGUUGGCCGAUGGAUGUAAUGCGGUUGGGAGAGAAGGGUCUAGAGGCCAGAACGACAGGGAAGAGAGGCUGUCAGUGCUAAUGAGAAAACUGGACUCCAGAGGAACCAUAGAAUGCUGUGGGAGUUCCUGCUGAGAAGAGUGGGGUUGCACCCCAGAAGGAAGGGCUAAGGUGGCUGUUCUGGCAGAGAGAUAGAGGAGGACUGAAGAAGAGUCUGGGUGUGGCGAAAGACAUCAGUGUCUGGUAUGCUGAAUGCUGCUUUGCUGCACUAAUUCUUAUUCCUGACUUAGGCCUAAAUUCUCAUCCCUGUUACAUGGCUGUAGCACCCACUAGAACUUAGGUUGCAAGUUCAAGGGGUGAGACUAAGAGGGAACAGGUCAUAACUCAGAAGAUACCUGGGUGUCAUUAAAGGCUGAGAUAAUUCCUUCUAAGGAAGAGACCACAGGGAGAUGAGCAGCUCCUGUGAAGGAUCUGGAGUCAUCAUCAUCAGAGGACCAAACACCUCAAGAAGACCCAGUCUGAGGGGGUCAGUGCUCAAUACCAGAGCUGGGGAGAAGACUCCAGAGUAGCUCCAGAAAGAGGACUGGGAAAGGAGCCCAGGAGAUUGGCUGAUUGUUUGGAACUUUGGCAACAAGUUACCCCUUUUGUUACCCAGAAGGGAUCUAAAGUCUGUGCUUCUCAGCUGGAGGACUGGGCUGUCACAAAGGCAAAUGGCCUACAGGGGGCACUAGGGUGAGGACACCUGAAACAGGAAGCUCUGACAACAAGGGAUCUUGUUGCGGUGACUGUUAGACAUUUUCAGAAAUAUAAUGGAGUGCCUAUCUUGAGAAUUUUUCAUACAGUGUACAAACAAUAUUCAUUUGCCUGAAAAAACUACUGAAAUUUGAACUUGCUGCCAACCUAUUGUUAUUUCCACAGACUUUCUUUUCCCUGUACUGGACAUCUGACAUCCCCAAACCAUUUCACAACUAAUACUAUCUGCUCAGGACAGUCCUGUGACUAGCUACCAUAUGUAAAUUAUAUAUCCAAGCACUGAGGUGUACAAAAGAACUGGCUGAUAAAGCUUCCAUAGAAUUUGUCUGCACUGUGCAUAACUCAAGACAAUUCUUUUAGCCCUUUACUUCCUCCAGCACCAAACUUAUAGCCAGUUAAAGAAAAACGGGCACUUUCAGACGGACCUAUCUUUUUGUGUCCAAUACAGUAUGGGUGAAAUUUAUUCCUGUACACCACUUAAGUUGUAUAGAAGCCUUCAGAUUGAGUCAUAAGGGAGACUUUAGGCCUCGUGCUGGAUCUUUCCACGUGAGUGAAAUAUACCGUAUCUGAAUAGAGUUGCUGUAUUUGUGGCCUUUUUUUUGUCUCUGCAAAACUUUAUCAAUAACUCUUUGCCAAAUAUGUCAGGAAGAAAGGAGUUUCUGGAAUAGUUUGGUUAGUACAGUGAGGACAAUACGCCAUUGAGACUUGAGCAUUUACUGUGCCAGGGUGGGAGGAAAAAGGUAAAUAUCAAGUAACAUAGAUAGAGCCCAGUAAGGUGAAGAAGGUAUACCCAUCCUUUUGGUUUCACUGUACAGUAUUGUGCAUGGGAUAGAGAGAAAACAGGCAAGAGGUUAAGUGGAUAUCAGGAUUAGCAGAGUUGUAAAAAAGGGAGAAACUGUGGCAUUUCCUCAAGUGAUUCAAAAUAUGAGGCUGAUCAUGAAAUGCUUUUGCUUCUUCUUGCCCCUGAAAACUGAAAGUUACCUAUUACUACUACUGAAGCAAUAACUUAACCACUAACCCCAUGAAAACCCAGAAUUGGCUGGCAAUGCCCAUUAUUUUUUUUUUUAUGCUGAUUCCUUAGGGGCAGACAUGUAUAGUCCCUAAUAGGAAUCUUUUCGGAUGAUUUGGGUAAGAGUUAUUUUAAUUGCAAACAAAUCUUGACAGAUGUCAGCUUCUCAGAUUCAAUAAAUCAGUGCCAGUCAUUAAGCAGUAACCUGGCUCGGGAAGGUAUUGUGCUUCUACAAAUGCAAUAAUGGCCCAUUUUUUGACAGAGUAUUAAUUACAGGACUUGGGAAAUAUAGUAUGACCAGUUAUAUUAAAUAGCUCCUGAUUGUCCAUUUUCAUAACUAUCACAAUUACAGAUGAGUAGCUGCCUUCAGCUAAAGUAAAAAUGGAUUGUGAACCAUGCCUUUUCCUGGGAUCAAACUUGUCCGCACCUUUCCAAACCUUGAGACAACUUAUUUUUCUCUUGUUGCAUGUUUCUGCAUUUCCUGAUUCUGGUUGAGACUAGAAGUGGAAAUAUCAAAAUACUGCUGGAGAGGCUGUUCUGGUGGUAUUUCCAGACCACAAGGAAAGGAAGUGUUGAAUAGUACUCUUCCUAGAAGAUGAAUCCUGGGUUUGAUCCUCCAUUGGUGGAAAUCAGUGUAGCUCCAUUGAAUUCAAUAGAGCUACUCCAGUUUAUGCCAGCUGAGAAUCUAGCCCAAUGUGUAUAGUUGGUUCAAUCUUUCCUUAUAAGGCAGUCUCUCCAGGUCUUAUUUUUGUUUCU